rfam:Candida arabinofermentans NRRL YB-2248 unplaced genomic scaffold CANARscaffold_8, whole genome shotgun sequence.
GGGGCUAUGGCUCAAUGGUAGAGCUUUCGACUCCAGAAGGAUUUCGUGCAAUCGAAGGGUUGCAGGUUCGAUUCCUGUUGGCCUCA